rnacentral:rRNA from 1 species
AACAGGAUUAGAUACCCUGGUAGUCCACGCCCUAAACGAUGAUAACUCGAUGUUGGCGAUAGACAGCCAGCGUCCCAGCGAAAGCGUUAAGUUAUCCACCUGGGGAGUACGCCCGCAAGGGUGAAACUCAAAGGAAUUGACGGGGGCCCGCACAAGCGGAGGAGCAUGUGGUUUAAUUCGAUGAUACGCGAGGAACCUCACCCGGGCUUGAAAGUUAGUGAAGGAUGCAGAGACGCAUCCGUCCUUCGGGACACGAAACUAGGAGCUGCAUGGCUGUCGUCAGCUCGUGCCGUGAGGUGUUGGGUUAAGUCCUGCAACGAGCGCAACCCCUAUGUUUAGUUGCCAGCAUGUAGUGGUGGGGACUCUAAACAGACUGCCUGCGCAAGCAGAGAGGAAGGUGGGGACGACGUCAAGUCAUCAUGGCCCUUACGUCCGGGGCUACACACGUGCUACAAUGGAUGGUACAGCGGGCAGCUACAUAGCAAUAUGAUGCUAAUCUCUAAAAGCCAUUCACAGUUCGGAUUGGGGUCUGCAACUCGACCCCAUGAAGUUGGAUUCGCUAGUAAUCGCGUAUCAGCAAUGACGCGGUGAAUACGUUCCCGGGCCUUGUACACACCGCCCGUCAAGCCAUGAAAGUUGGGGGUACCUAAAGCAUGUUACCGCAAGGAGCGUGUUAGGGUAAAACCGAUAAUUGGGGCUAAGUCGUAACAAGGUA